AGUGGGCCGACUUAGGCCGAUUAGAUAACAGCAAACAGAAAACAGGUAUAGCGAUCUAAGACAGCCCGCACAUCUGUGCAACUAAAUCACACACAAUUAAAAAGUCGGCCACCCUUAGUCGAGUACGAACGCUUUUUGGGCGGUAAAUCAACAACACUUUUUGGAUUUACCCUUAGACCAUUAAAAAGAAAGGACCUGCCUCGUAAACCGUUACCCCUCUGUCAAAGAUCAAGAAUCAAUGAUCUAACGCGUUUAUAAAAACUGUUGCUAUAGAAUCGAUGUUUCAUUGUUGUGAUCGUUUUCGUCGUUUAAAGAGCUCCCUAAAUAUGCCGGUAUGUGUAGUUGAAUGGCAUAAAAAACGGCCAAAAACUUGUAGUUUAGUAAAAGAUGGAGUAACGUUUCAUUUGUAAGUAUUUCUACCAUAAUUUUAUCAAAUUUGUAAUAAAAACGAUUUCUAAAAAGAAUCGAUUCUUUUGACGGAACAGCAAAAAAUCGAUCAAGUAGGUAAUCGAACAUUCUAUAUGUAUAUUCUGUUAGACACAGAAAAUAUUUAAUUGUGUUAAAUGUUUUCGAUGUGUGAGUUUACCUCGUCCCCCUCAAAAAACGACACACAUUUUUGUUGGUGAAUUUGCGUGCAAAACAGGAAAAAUGAAUGGAUUCUUUUUAAUGGUCUAAGGAUUUACCGCCCAAAAAUUGUUCGUACUCUACUAAAAUAAUAUUAAAGUAGGUAUAGGAGUCCCAAAGAGUAAAUUAAUUUAAGAGUAGUCCGAAUAAAAAAAAAGCACUUGAUAUCAUACUUGUACCGAAUCGUAAAUCUAUGCUUGAUACUGGCUCAAUCGCUCGACGCGCGGUGCCAUAGAACCAAGAGAAGAAGAAGAAGAAGAAGAACUAAGCCUUACUCUUUGAUUUGACAUUGACAUUGACUGUUUGUGUUUGUCUUUGGUUCAAUGUUCACUUCAUGUUGUUUUUUGCAUUUUUUUUAUAGUUUCAAUUGAAAAAUAUAACUUUGUGUAAUGGGUGUGACUGUGAUGACGAGAUGAAUCAGGCCGGGUCAACUCUCGAACAAAGUUUGGUUAUACCUACGGGGGCUAGACCUGUGGUGUCAUCAUCCAUACGGUUCUACCGUCUGGUAGUUGUAGCAAUAUUAUUAUCGUUAGUAGCUCACGCCUGACAUAAUAUUUUGAUAAAUCUAAUACAUUUUUAGAUUUAAAUAUGACUUUAAUAACUGAAUAAAUACUUUUCUUCUACAAAAAUAUAGAGAGACACUCUCGUUGAAUAUUGUUUUAGUAACGAAUAUGUAAGAUUUUCUAAACGAAGUGUGGCAACCCCAAUUACUUAAUAAAAAAUAAAUAUGUUAUAAAAUGAAAAUGGCGUCAUUUCACCAAAUAAAACACGAAUUCACGAAUAAUAAAAUAAAUGUUUGCCACGGCCUGUUAAUAUUUAUGAAGACCUCUUCAUGGAUUGGAUUUAAGCAACCUGCUGUGUAAUAUCCUCGCCAUUCUUGAUGUUGAGAAGAUCUAUAAAUCUUUUGCGUUUCAUCUGAGUGUUGUGGUUUUUCAUUAUGUUAAACAUAAGACUUUGUUAGUUCAAGUGUCUCUAUAACUAUGAAGAAAAACAAAAGAAAAUGCUUUGAGUGUGGUUCUUCGCCUGCCGAUGAUCCAGAGAAGACCCUACAGAGAUUACAGAAAUUUGAUUCUACAAAUUUAGUCUCCGAUGCAAUGCACCCCAAAUAACUGUCUGACCUGCAGCUGUCUGAAUGUUUACUUCUCUGGAUCUACUGAACAGAUUUUCAUUUGGUUAUCACAGGUAGCUUAAUCUGGAGCAACAUAAGGUUAAUUAUGAAAUGGUAAUGAAAAUAAACAUCUGAGAAAAGCAAAUUCCAUGAACUAAUUUGAAAGUAUCUGUUACCAGUUCAAUAUUAAACCACAGGUAUAUGUACUAAAGGCAGUAAUGUCCAGAUAAUCAAUGAUUAGACUAUUGGACUUUUAGAAUAAAUUUUACAUUGAACUAUGAAUGGUUUGUCAUCUACAUUUUUAAAAAAGACGAGAUGUUUUGCCUGUAAGAACAAGAGAGAGAGAGAAUAAGAAGCAAUCCUGCUUCUUCACAUGAAUUUCACAUGAAUUUUACCCGCAUGACGACGGUUUUUAAUAUAAAAAAUAUUUACACAAUGUCUCAAAAAGCAAUCAAAGCUUUCAAAAAUAAACAAUGUUCGCAGAAGUUCAGUACCAACAAACUCACAAAAAAUGAGCCCAAAAUUUAGCAUUACUUGCAAGCCAGACUAAGAAAUUUCAAGAAGAUAAUUUAAAAGAAGACAAUAGAAUAAAAUAAUAUUAAGACACAAUGCUUAGCAAAUAUAGCAUUAACAGAUGGAAACCAGGCAAUAGGUGUAGAAAAAUAGAAGAUGAAGGUCUAGCUGUGCCAGUCAGUGCUGAGCCACACAGUUGCUGCUGGCAUGUUUGCAAAAUAGCACAAGGUUUAGCAAAAUAGAAGAUGAAGUUCUAGCUGUGCCAGUCAGUGCUGAGCCACACAGUUGCUGCUGGCAUGUUUGCAAAGAGCACAAGGUGUAGCAAAAUAGAAGAUGAAGGUCUAGCUGUGCAAGUCAGUGCUGAGCCACACAGUUGCUGCUGGCAUGUUUGCAAAAUAGCACAAGGUGUAGCAAAAUAGAAGAUGAAGGUCUAGCUGUGCCAGUCAGUGCUGAGCCACACAGUUGCUGCUGGCAUGUUUGCAAAAUAGCACAAGGUGUAGCAAAAUAGAAGAUGAAGGUCUAGCUGUGCCAGUCAGUGCUGAGCCACACAGUUGCUGCUGGCAUGUUUGCAAAAUAGCACAAGGUGUAGGAAAAUAGAAGAUGAAGGUCUAGCUGUGCCAGUCAGUGCUGAGCCACACAGUUGCUGCUGGCAUGUUUGCAAAAUAGCACAAGGUGCUGUAAAAUGAAGAUAUAUUGUUAAAUAUCAUGAGAUAGAAAUAAAAGAUGAAUAUCUAGCUGUACCCGUCCCGAGCCACACUACUGCAGCCACGUUGCUGCUGGCAUUUUUGCAAAAUAGCACAAGGUCACAACAAUUGAUGUAACAAAUAUAAUCAAUGGACCAGGCACCUGCACCAUGAUUCUUUGGAAUACUAAAAUUCGUCUCUUUAUGUCUUACUUACUUACGUACUUCUCAUAAUGAAAAAUGUCACGUUUUUAUGAAAGAAAUAAUGGAAUCAAAUAAUAAAUAAAACAAGCAUAUGCUGGAAGUCCUCAGAAACAGCUCCGACUUUGAGGAUUUUUUUUAAAGUCAUGUUUUUUAUGUUAUUUAAAAUCAGAAAUGUUUUGGUGGACGAAAUUAUUUAAAUUGUUAAAAAAUAUCUAUGCUAUUUAUACAUAUUUUUUUUUAAAUACAACCGACUUCAAAAAUACAAACUUAUGCAGAAAAAAAACAAACGAAAGAAAAUAUUAUAAUAUUUUCUAUCUAUUGAUCACUUUGAAGGCGGUGCCAAUGGUCCAAUUAAUGGGCCGACAAUUAGUUAUCUAUUGUUUACUACCUAUAGGGCUCGAAUUGCUUUUUCAUAUCUUUAAAAUACUAUCUUCGGAAUGAACCCUUUAUAAUAAAAAAGUAUUAUCAAAAUCGGACCACUCAAUAAAAAGUUAUACUUGGUUGUAUACUAAAAUUAAUGGUUAAACAAUCAAUCAUCCCCUGUUUUCGUAAUGUAAAACCAAGAAUAACUGUUAACAUGAGUAGUCCGAUUUUGAUAAUUCUUUUGAUUGAUCAUUCUUGAUUGUUUUAGUUUAAAACCAAGCAUGUCUUCGAAUUCCGAUUUGAAUAACUUUGUUUUAAAUAGAAAGGGUAUAUUCCGACAAUGGUCCCAAAUCAUUAUAAAUUUAAAAAAAACGAAGAUGACUGGUUAUUUUCCCAUUAAUUGUAUUGUAAAACUAUGCGUAACUUAUUACGAAGUGAUCCGAUUUCGUAAAUUCUUUAUAGAUUGUAAAGGUAUUUUGAUUGUAAAGCUCCCAUAUAAAUUUUAAAAACAAUUCCAAUCCUAAAUGUGCGAUUGAUUGUUUUCUCAUUCAUUUUAAUGUAAAACCAAGCAUAACUUUUUAUUGGGUGGUUCGAUUUUGAUUAUUCUUUUUUUGAUAGAAAGGGUAUAUUCCUAAAAGUCUCAUAAAAUGUUGGAAAACAAUUUCAAACCUAAUAGUAGGAAAAUAGAAGAUGAUUAAUUGUUUUCCCAUUUAUUGUAAUGUUAAGCUAUGCGUAACUUUUUACUGAGUGGACCGAUUUUGAAAAUUCUUUACUUUUUGUAAAGGGUUUAUUUCGAAGUAGGUCCCAUAUAAAUCGGAAAACAAUUCGAAUCCUUAAGGUGGAAAAAAAACUGUACGAUUGAUUGCCUACCCAUUAAUUGUACAAUUGGCACCGGCUUCAAAGUAAUCAGUAGAUAUAAAAUAUUAUAAUGUUUUCUUCAGCUUAUUAGUUUACUGCAUAACUUUGUGUUUUUGAAGUCGGUAGUGUUUAUUUUUUAAUUAUUUAUUAUAUAAAUAGCAUAACUAUUGUUAAAUAGUAUAAAUCGUUCCAUCCUCACUCCAAAAGGUUUCUGAUUUCAAAUAAUAUGAAGAAACAAACUGAACAAAAAAAUCAUCAAAAUCAGAGCUGUUUCUGAAGAGGUAGAGGGUAAAUGCUCUAUUGACUCGCCUAAAAGUAAUAUUAUGUUAUCGCAUUAGGUUGUAAAGUUUGGCUAAUGAAAGUAGAGACUUAAAUUGCCCGCCAAAUUUAAAAAUCAUAUAAACAAAUUAAAAAACAUGCGUUUUCAUAAUUUAUUUAAAUUAGUUUUUCUUUGUGAAUACAUUAUUACCUAUACUAUAAGUGUUAAACUCAGUUAUUCCAAUAUUUGCACUAUAAUUUUGAGAAUUUACUCCGAUUUUUUAAAAUUUGGCGGGUGAUUUCAGUUAUAAUUGACUUGAUUUUCCCAAAUAUCUCAGUGAAGUCAAAUACCCAAUUGAUGCAUAGAUAUAUUUUUAUUUUGGUUUUCAUUUUACUUUAAAGAUAAAAUUUAGUUUUAGAAGCAAAAUGAAUAUAUGUAGAUUACAUUUUAGGUGCUGAUGUUUACUUAGUUAUUGAUUAAGUGCAUAAGAUUUUUUAUUUGAUAAUAAAGACAUUUCAAC